rnacentral:rRNA from 1 species
AGAGUUUGAUCCUGGCUCAGGAUGAACGCUAGCGGCAGGCCUAAUACAUGCAAGUCGAACGGUUCGCAAGAAUAGUGGCAAACGGGUGCGUAACGCGUAAGCAACCUGCCUCAAACUGGGGGAUAGCCCGGCGAAAGCUGGGGUAAACCCGCACGGUUCCCAUUUAUCACCUGGUAGUUGGGAUAAACAUUUAUGGGUUUGAGAGGGGCUUGCGUCUGAUUAGUUAGUUGGCAGGGUAACGGCCUACCAAGACGAUGAUCAGUAGGGGUUCUGAGAGGAUUGGCCCCCACAUGGGUACUGAGAUACGGACCCAACUCCUACGGGAGGCAGCAGUAGGGAAUAUUGGGCAAUGGAGGCAACUCUGACCCAGCCAUGCCGCGUGCAGGAUGAAGGCGCUCAGCGUUGUAAACUGCUUUUAUCGGUGAAGAAAACUUGUCCUGCGGGAUGAAUUGACGGUAGCCGAGGAAUAAGCACCGGCUAACUCCGUGCCAGCAGCCGCGGUAAUACGGAGGGUGCAAGCGUUGUCCGGAUUUAUUGGGUUUAAAGGGUGCGUAGGUGGUGCCUUAAGUCUGGUUUGAAAGCAGGCGGCUUAACCGUCUGAUGUGGCUGGAAACUGGGGCACUUGAAUGGGUUGGCGGUAGCCGGAACGGGUCAUGUAGCGGUGAAAUGCAUAGAUAUGACCCAGAACACCGAUNGCGAAGGCAGGCUACUACGACUUGAUUGACACUGAGGCACGAGAGCAUGGGUAGCGAACAGGAUUAGAUACCCUGGUAGUCCAUGCCGUAAACGAUGAUUACUGGCUGUGUGUGUUCUAACAUGCGUGGCUGAGCGAAAGCGUUAAGUAAUCCACCUGGGGAGUACGCUGGCAACAGUGAAACUCAAAGGAAUUGACGGGGGUCCGCACAAGCGGUGGAGCAUGGGGUUUAAUUCGAUGAUACGCGAGGACCUUACCUGGGCUAGAAUGGGGCNNGAAGCUAUUCAGAAAUGGUAGCGGNGUAGCAUANNCCACAAANAAGGUGCUGCAUGGCUGUCGUCAGCUCG